rnacentral:lncRNA from 1 species
UUUUGGAGCAACUAUGCGGCCCAAGAUAAUUUGUCUUGACUCAGUGUGAUCCAGGCAAGCCAAAAGGUUGCACACCCAUGAAAUAAGCCAAGAAAGUACAUGGACUGCAAGAAAAUUCUUUUUGGUCUACUGACAUCCCUGUUUAAUUAAUAAGGUUUUGUCCUCUUCACCAGUCACAAAAAAAUAUUUGUUUGGAAUUUGGUAAACUGAAGUGGAAGUGUCCUCGCCGCUGAGAAUUUACACUGGGACCAGAAUGAUGCCUGCUCUUCCCUCACACAAGGAUGCAGAGCCUAUCGAAGGAAGGGAAUUACAAAAUGAC